rnacentral:rRNA from 1 species
UACGUAGGGGGCUAGCGUUGUCCGGAUUUAUUGGGCGUAAAGAGCGUGUAGGCGGCCAGGUAGGUCUGGUGUGAAAACUCGAGGCUUAACCUCGAGAUGUCAUCGGAAACCAUCUGGCUAGAGUCCGGAAGAGGAGAGUGGAAUUCCUGGUGUAGCGGUGAAAUGCGCAGAUAUCGGGAGGAACACCAAUUGCGAAGGCAGCUCGCUGGGACGUUACUGACGCUGAGACGCGAAAGCGUGGGGAGCAAACAGG